GGGUGGGAGCAGCAGCUGCCGCGGGGGCGGGGGCGGGGGCGGGGCGGCAGGGCUGCCGGGAACCCGGGAACCGGGAGGGGUAGGGGAGAGCGGGCACUCGGGCGCACAGAGCAGCGCUUCGCUCGGGUUCCUAUGCGUGGUCCGCCUUCCCUCCCCGCUCCUCCGGGGCGCAGGGCGUCAGUGAGGGCUCAGUGUGGUCCGCGGCCCCACGUACCGGCGCCCACUGCGGGCCUGGCGAUUCCCAGGGGCUUCGCCCCCAUCUUCUCGUGGACCCUCUCUACCUACCACAGAGGAGGCUCAGAGAAGGGGACCCGCUGACCCAGGACCCCAGAGCGGAUUCGUUGCGGAGCUGGGUGUGGCCCCAAAGCCCCCACUCCCGGAGGUUGCAGUGGGUCUGGGCCGGAGGACCCAGGCCCAAGCCGAGGAGCUAGGAGCAGGAUGCCGGGGCAUUCCCCUCUCCAGGACUCCUGUGCUGCUGGACCCAGCCUGAAGUGGCCCAAAGAGACACUGGAUCAGCUGAAGAGGAACAAAGGGUUCAUUCACCCUUUGGACCUUGCCCCCAGCCUAACAGGGCACUUUCAGACUGGCAAGUCCCAGCUCGCAACCACCCGGAUGAUCAUCAUCCACAGAGAACAGAGUUCCACAGCCCGGCCCAUUUUGUCUGGAUGAAGGCGCCAAGACCCGGGAGAGGAAGGCUGCCCAGAACUUCAGCAUCUUCUCCCCCAGACUCCCCGCUCCCCCACCCCUUUCCCGCCCUCCUCUGCGCCACGGACCUCCCUCUCCCCCAGCUCUCCCCGCCCCCCUCCACCCCGUACUGCCUGAGCUCCUGCAGCCGCGCCUCAGUGCUCUCCUGCGCUGCCCGAAAAGCUUGCACCUCACCCAGCAGCCGGCCCAGGUCCUCGGGGCGCCAGCGGCCAUCGUCACUGCGCAGCGCAGGCGCCUGCAGGUGGGAGGCACGGUGGGGCCUGAGUCACAGGAAACUGGGCCAGCCGUCCCAGCACCUCCACCCGGGUUCCCUGGCCCCUGCAGGCUGCCCCACCUUGCGCCGCACGCGGUCCAGUAGUUGCUCCCGGCCGCGCACGAAGCUCGGGUGCUGGAACUCCACGUGGUCGCGCUCGGGCCGGAGCAGGCCUCCCUGCUCAAUGCUCACCACCUUCCGAAAACCGUCUGCGGGGUGCGGCGUGGAGCCGUAAAUGGCCCCAUCCCCUCGCACCAAGUCACCCACCGCCAAUUCCGGCCAGGACCUAGGGACUCACACAUAUUGAGUUGCCGAACAAAGCUCGCCAUGUUGCUGUGCUUGAAGUACUGGGGCAGCACUUCCUUGGCGAAGCGGCUCUGGUCGUUUACGAGGAAACUGGUCCCGCUCUGCGGAGAACGCCGCCCUCCCACCGAGACCGGAGGACAACGUGAGUGGUGCCGGUCCAGGGCCACACACACAUACACACACACACACACACACACACACACACACACACACACACACACGCUCCGGGACCCUGUCCCUCAGGAACCAGGGAUGAGGCCAGGCUAGAACCAGUUCCGAGGCCUAGCCUGGAGUGAUCACAAUGAAUCCCUAGCCCAGCUGGGCCCCGGCUCCGUACCAGGUUCUCAGAAAGGUGCUGCAGAGGCCAGACCUGGGUUUCAGCCCCUCAGGGCGGGGCGGGGGGGGGGGGUGCCAGACCGUGAUGCGACUCUGAACUAGAAUCAGACCCAGCCCUUCUCUUCUGGCCUCUGUUUUCCGAUCUGUCUGAUGGGUUGGUGUGGCAACUAAAUGACCAUAAAGAACCUUUAAGUUUCCAGAA